rnacentral:rRNA from 1 species
UCCGGUGAUAAUAGCAGAGAGGCCACACCCGUUCCCAUCCCGAACACGGAAGUUAAGCUCUCUUGCGCCGAUGGUACUGCUGUAUGGUGGGAGAGUAGGUCGUCGCCGGCU